GACGAACGCUGGCGGCGUGCUUAACACAUGCAAGUCGAACGGAAAGGCCCCUUUUGGGGUACUCGCGUGGCGAACGGGUGAGUAACACGUGCGUAACCUACCCUUGACUUCGGGAUAACUUCAGUCAACUGGGGCUAAUACCGGAUAGGAAUCCUUGCUGCAUGGUGGGGGUUGGAAAGCUUCGGCGGUUUUGUAUGGACUCGCGGCUUAUCAGCUUGUUGGUGGGGUAGUGGCUUACCAAGGCUUUGACGGGUAGCCGGCCUGGAGGGGCGACCGACCAGGUGGGGAGAGAGGAGCGGCCGAAACACGGAGGGGGGAAGGAGGGGGGAAAUAUGAAAAAGGGGGGGGAGGAGUGAGGAAGAAACGCGGGGGGGGGAGGGCGGGCGUGGGGUUUGAAAACGGGUUAAGCAGGGGAAGAAGUGGGGGUGACGGUAAUGGGAAAAGAAGCACCGGAUAACUACGUG
rnacentral:rRNA from 1 species